GUGUCUCCUGCUCCACAGCUUGUUUGUGAACCUGCAGGCAUGGUGCUUGAUUUCUAAGACAAUGCAAAGCAGUUCUCGCUAGGUACAACACGGUUGGGUGGCAUAAGCCUCUUCUUCAUAGAUUCUCAUUUUGUGCCUUUUUCUCCUUCGCCUUCAUCCAGAUACAGCUGCUACAAACAGGGCAGGAGGCAGAGCACGUGUGCUGUUGGGGCUGCGGGCAGCACAGUCACAUCGAGGACUCAGGCAGUGCUGGGAGAAGAGCUCUUCAUUUACUCUGGGGCUGACUCCUAGAUGCUCAGAGACACGAGUGUUCCUGCUUACUGAGUGUCUUCAAGAACGAACUGGAAUUAAAGCACUAAGCAACGCAUUAUUGGUGACAAGCUGCUGGGUAUCUAAUCUCAGACAGAGCCACAGUGAAAAAUGCUGUGGAUGA
rnacentral:lncRNA from 1 species